GAAAUGCGAUAAGUAAUGUGAAUUGCAUAAUUCAGUGAAUCAUCGAAUCUUUGAACGCACAUUGCGCCCGCCAGUAUUCUGGCGGGCAUGCCUGUUCGAGCGUCAUUACAACCCUCAGGCCCCUGGGCCUGGCGUUGGGGAUCGGCGGAAGCCCCCUGCGGGCACAACGCCGUCCCCCAAAUACAGUGGCGGUCCCGCCGCAGCUUCCAUUGCGUAGUAGCUAACACCUCGCAACUGGAGAGCGGCGCGGCCACGCCGUAAAACACCCAACUUCUGAAUGUUGACCUCGAAUCAGGUAGGAAUACCCGCUGAACUUAAGC
rnacentral:misc_RNA from 1 species